UCUACGGGUGGCAGCAGUGGGGAAUAUUGGGCAAUGGGCGAAAGCCUGACCCCGCAACGCCGCGUGAAGGAAGAAGGCUUUCGGGUUGUAAACUUCUUUUUUCAGGGACGAAGAAAGUGACGGUACCUGAGGAAUAAGCCACGGCUAACUACGUGCCAGCAGCCGCGGUAAUACGUAGGUGGGAAGCGUUAUCCGGAUUUAUUGGGUGUAAAGGGGGUGGUGGGGGGAUCGUAAGUCAGAUGUGAAAACGCAGGGCUCAACCCUGGGCCUGCAUUUGAAACUGUGUUUCGUGAGUGCAGGAGAGGCAAGCGGAAUUCGGGGUGUAGCGGUGAAAUGCGUAGAUAUACGGAGGAACACCAGUGGCGAAGGCGGAUUGCUGGACACUAACUGACGCUGAGGCGCGAAAGCGUGGGGAGCAAACAGGAUUAGAUACCCCAGUAGUC
rnacentral:rRNA from 1 species